CAAGUUCCCUACACGAGAGGGAGAGAGAGCUCAUUAUCAAGAGGUCUUUCCUCCCCAGGCAGCUUCAGAGAACCAUCUGUUGAUGUGGCCAGGAAAUGCUGGCUGAGAUCCCAACAAAGGAGCCGAGAAGUCCUGGCCAAUGUCUGGCACCUGUGUAAAUGUCUGUCACAGCAAGAGUGACCCCCAUAAUUACCUCGACCUUAUUCAAGCGAGAAGUGCCCGUCAGCCUGAGCCCGGUUUGAGAGGCACGCCUGCUGCUCCGUCCCUCCCCCGUGAGCGCGCCAGCUGAAUCUCCAGCUCAGCAGCAGCCCCAAAGCCCCCAUCAUCAGAAUUUCACCUCCUCCAGCAGCAGGAGACCUCCUCCAAGUUGGGGGAGGCGCCCCACACAGUCCUGACAUCAAGGGCUUUCCUCAGAAACACCCCAGCUGGGGGCUUUCUUUUGACUCACAGCACUUUCAGCCAGGAUGUUCAUGAGCCUGGGGUCCAUUGUUUGUGAAGUCAACUGGAUUCCAAGUUUAAACAUGCAGAGGAAAGGAGGAGUUCCUCAAGCACCUCUGAACUCCAGCAGCUCUGGAAUAUUCCCAUUUCAACAUUCCCACCUGCGCUCCGUCCUCCCUCCUGCCUCUUCCAUCAUAGGGGAUGAGAUGUGUCCUUUUCAAAGGGUGUGAGGAACAACUGUUAUGCACAGAACUAAGGUUAGAAAACACCUUGUAAGUCAACUGAUUAACAAGCACAUGGUCUGGAGAUCAGAAGUCCAAAAAAUGGGUCUCACUGAGCUACAAUCAAGGUGUCAACAGGCUGUGUCCUUUCCUGGAGGCUCUGGGAGAGAAUCGGUAUCCUUGCUCUUUUCCCACUUCGAGAGGCUGCCACAUUCCUUGGCUGGUGGCUCCUUCCUCCAUCUUCAAAGCCAGCGACAGAUGAGAUAUGACCUUGACCAGGAAUGCUGCCUUUGACAAUAAAGAAAAAGAAGAGAUGAUGCCUGGACACCACAAACAUCACGUGCACUGGCUGGAUGAUAGAAAAAUACAGCGGUUCCUCUUCUCCACCCACUAUCGCAAAUCCCCAUUGAUAAAUCACUAUACCCCACGUGGACCCAUGAAUUUUGUAACAUAUUUUACAAUCAAAUUGUGUAGACAGGAGCCUUACAAAAAUUAGUUGCCCACAGCCCCGCAAACCCUAAAACCUGCCCUGGUGAGGAGGAUGGUCACCUGAUAUUGUUUUAAAUCCUCCUUGGUGUCCUCCUUCAAAUUAUGCCUAUUGUGCCAGCUCAGUGCCCAACAUACAGUCAAUCUCUAAUAAAUAUUUCCUGGAGGAGAGAGAGAGAAGAAGUUGGUGACACUAGUCAUGCCCCUAAUGUUUUAUUUUUGCUCUUCUAAAAAGCAGUGCAUAAGAAAGUUACCAUAUGCAGUGAAAUAAAAAUGCUGAAUUUACGUCUUUUGCUUCCAGAAGGAGGUGAAUGUGAAGGUCAGAUUUUAGGCAGACUUCAAAUUGAAGCUCAGUUUUAGAUAAAACAUUCUCAGUGCAGAGGCUCAGAGAUGACGCAGUGGGGCGGAGGGUGCCGGAGGGAGGGAGGGAGGCAGGAAAACUCAAGCCCUCUCUCUGAUCUCCAUGGAUGGCCAGAUUAGGAAAUGCAUGUGGAACCACAGGAAGAGCCACACGGGCCAGAAGCGACAUGCUUUUGAGUGGUAAACCCACAAAUGAACAUACAAGUUCAGAAUUCAUAAAUGUCCCAGAGAAGACAGCAAGCUUUAGAAGCAGCAUGCAUUUCAUUACCAAGCAAAUUUACUGAUUUGUUUCAGUUUUAUGUCUUUGGACAAAUAUAGAUUGGCAGGAUUUUCAUAUUCAGCUCACUUCAUGCUGCUGCUUUUGAUUUUUUCCUUCCUUAGUUGUGACCUCUUGCAGAAUUCCUGACACUGAGCUACGAUGUUCUCAAGCAUGUUGCAAUGUCAAGUUCAGGCACUUAAGAAUCAUUAAAUCCAAAAUUUCUCUCAUCUCUGUUGUUUUUGGAAUUGGGGUUGAAAAUGGGUUUGAGGGCAAAGUAUUCUUUCUAAGCAGA